AACGAACGCUGGCGGCAUGCCUAACACAUGCAAGUCGAACGAGGGCUUCGGCCCUAGUGGCGCACGGGUGAGUAACACAUGGGAACCUGCCUUGUGGUUCGGAAUAACACCGGGAAACUGGUGCUAAUACCGGAUAAGCCCUUCGGGGGAAAGAUUUAUCGCCAUGAGAGGGGCCCGCGUCCGAUUAGGUAGUUGGUGGGGUAACGGGCUACCAAGCCUUCGAUCGGGAGCUGGUCUGAGAGGAUGACCAGCCACACUGGGACUGGGACACGGCCCAGACUCCUACGGGAGGCAGCAGUGGGGAAUAUUGGACAAUGGGCGCAAGCCUGAUCCAGCAAUGCCGCGUGAGUGAUGAAGGCCUUAGGGUUGUAAAGCUCUUUCGGCGGGGACGAUGAUGACGGUACCCGCAGAAGAAGCCCCGGCUAACUUCGUGCCAGCCGCCGCUGUAACAC
rnacentral:rRNA from 1 species